rnacentral:lncRNA from 1 species
GCCCGCCGCGCGCCUCCCGCACCGCCGCCUGCGGGCCCUGCCUCGGGGCCCCGCGCAGCUUUGUUCCUCGCGGCGGUCGUCGCCUCCUCGCCCCUCCGGUGCCCCGGGCCCUGGGCGCUUUGUCUUUCCGCGCUGUCCCCCCGCGACUCUCUACCCCCGGCCCUUUGUUUCGCUGCCUUGGGCGCUUUGUCCGCCCCGCCGCGCCCCGCAUCCCUUCUCCAUCUCUUUCCCUCCGCUGUCCUUCCUCCCGUGCCCCUUUGUUGUGUUCCUCUCUUCUUGGUGGCCCAGUGACCUGCCACAGCCCAGGCACCAGAUUCCUGUUUUUAUUUUUCUUUCUUUGUCUUUCUCGUGUGUCUCCCCUCUCACCUUUCUCUUUGGCCCUGGAUCACCCCCAGAGGCUUUGUCUCCCUCAUAUAGUGGCUUAUUUUCCCAGUACCCCCCUUACCCUCCCAUCUUCGUGUGAUUUAUCCGCUGCCCACAGUGUUUGUCUGCUGAACUGUCUCAGCCCCGGGGACUCCAUCUGGUGCUUGGAAGUGCGGACAGACUCUAGGGCUUGUUGUUUUGUGAAUCUGAAGGAUGCUUGGGGAUACUUAGUUUCCUCCUCCGCCCCCUCCUCUCCUCUGCACCCCUUUCUCUCGGGAUUAUGUGUACCCCCCUCCGGGGGGGGGUUAAUACUGCUUUUAAGGGGACUCCAGUUUUCAUUGCCAUCUCUUUGGGUUCGUGGUUGUGCUUGGAAACAGUAGCCCUGAAAAAGAUCUAGUCUCUUGAUGGUUAUCCCCCCGCCUCUCUGCCCCUUGGUGUUUCUGGUGGCGUUGGCCAAGGGCAGCUGUCCAAGGGCAGCUGUCGUAGCUU